CCUACGGGGGGCUGCAGUGGGGAAUAUUGGACAAUGGGGGCAACCCUGAUCCAGCCAUGCCGCGUGUGUGAAGAAGGCCCUCGGGUUGUAAAGCACUUUCAGUGAGGAAGAACGCCUGGUGGUUAAUACCCAUCAGGAAAGACAUCACUCACAGAAGAAGCACCGGCUAACUCCGUGCCAGCAGCCGCGGUAAUACGGAGGGUGCGAGCGUUAAUCGGAAUUACUGGGCGUAAAGCGCGCGUAGGUGACUUGAUAAGCCGGUUGUGAAAGCCCCGGGCUCAACCUGGGAACGGCAUCCGGAACUGUCAAGCUAGAGUGCAGGAGAGGAAGGUAGAAUUCCCGGUGUAGCGGUGAAAUGCGUAGAGAUCGGGAGGAAUACCAGUGGCGAAGGCGGCCUUCUGGACUGACACUGACACUGAGGUGCGAAAGCGUGGGUAGCAAACAGGAUUAGAUACCCUAGUAGUC
rnacentral:rRNA from 1 species